UUUAUUGGAGAGUUUGAUCCUGGCUCAGGAUGAACGCUGGCGGCGUGCCUAAUACAUGCAAGUCGAGCGAAUGGAUUAAGAGCUUGCUCUUAUGAAGUUAGCGGCGGACGGGUGAGUAACACGUGGGUAACCUGCCCAUAAGACUGGGAUAACUCCGGGAAACCGGGGCUAAUACCGGAUAAYAUUUUGAACCGCAUGGUUCGAAAUUGAAAGGCGGCUUCGGCUGUCACUUAUGGAUGGACCCGCGUCGCAUUAGCUAGUUGGUGAGGUAACGGCUCACCAAGGCAACGAUGCGUAGCCGACCUGAGAGGGUGAUCGGCCACACUGGGACUGAGACACGGCCCAGACUCCUACGGGAGGCAGCAGUAGGGAAUCUUCCGCAAUGGACGAAAGUCUGACGGAGCAACGCCGCGUGAGUGAUGAAGGCUUUCGGGUCGUAAAACUCUGUUGUUAGGGAAGAACAAGUGCUAGUUGAAU
rnacentral:rRNA from 1 species